rnacentral:lncRNA from 1 species
UUGUAAGUGUUAUUGUAAAUAUGUUUUUCGCUAUAUAUAACAUUAUUUCUGAUAUUUCUAUUUUUUUGUUGUAUGUGUGUACUUCUUCAAUAUACAUAUAACGAUUCUGGUCUUGUUUUAAAAGCCAGGAUGUGACAUGUGGUGCAGUGUUCCACACACAGACACAGCCGUAACUUGCUGUAUGCAUACGUGGGCAGAAAAAGGAAAUGAAUUAUAUAAUGCCGGAU